GUGGGGAAUAUUGGGCAAUGGGCGAAAGCCCGACCCAGCAACGCCGCGUGAGGGAAGAAGGCCUUCGGGUUGUAAACCUCUGUCCUUGGUGACGAAAAAAAUGACGGUAGCCAAGGAGGAAGCCCCGGCUAACUACGUGCCAGCAGCCGCGGUAAUACGUAGGGGGCGAGCGUUGUCCGGAAUUACUGGGCGUAAAGGGUGCGUAGGUGGCCUUUUAAGUUGGAUGUGAAAUACCCGGGCUUAACUUGGGGGGUGCAUCUAAUACUGGAGGGCUAGAGUGCAGGAGAGGGAAGCGGAAUUCCUAGUGUAGCGGUGAAAUGCGUAGAUAUUAGGAGGAACACCAGUGGCGAAGGCGGCUUUCUGGACUGUAACUGACACUGAGGCACGAAAGCGUGGGGAGCAAACAGGAUUAGAUACCCCGGUAGUCC
rnacentral:rRNA from 1 species